GAUGAACGCUAGCGGCAGGCUUAACACAUGCAAGUCGAGGGGUAACAGGGUGCUUGCACCGCUGACGACCGGCGCACGGGUGCGUAACGCGUAUAGAACCUACCUUUUACAGGAGAAUACCCCAGAGAAAUUUGGAAUAAUGCUCCAUAGUAUUAUUGAAUGGCAUCAUUUGAUAAUUAAACAUUUAUGGGUAAAAGAUGGCUAUGCGUUCUAUUAGCUAGAUGGUAAGGUAACGGCUUACCAUGGCAACGAUAGAUAGGGGUCCUGAGAGGGAGAUCCCCCACACUGGUACUGAGACACGGACCAGACUCCUACGGGAGGCAGCAGUGAGGAAUAUUGGACAAUGGAGGCAACUCUGAUCCAGCCAUGCCGCGUGCAGGAAGACGGUCCUAUGGAUUGUAAACUGCUUUUAUACAGGAAGAAACACUCCCUCGUGAGGGAGCUUGACGGUACUGUAUGAAUAAGCACCGGCUAACUCCGUGCCAGCAGCCGCGGUAAUACGGAGGGUGCAAGCGUUAUCCGGAAUCAUUGGGUUUAAAGGGUCCGUAGGCGGGCUAAUAAGUCAGGGGUGAAAUCCAACAGCUUAACUGUUGAAUUGCCUUUGAUACUGUUAGUCUUGAGUUAUAUGGAAGUAGAUAGAAUGUGUAGUGUAGCGGUGAAAUGCUUAGAGAUUACACAGAAUACCGAUUGCGAAGGCAGUCUACUACGU
rnacentral:rRNA from 1 species